UAAGUUUGUUAUUGUAUUGGUAUGAGCUUUUGUGUGCAUCCACACAAAAGCUCAUACCAAUAACAAACUUA